rnacentral:rRNA from 1 species
AAGUGCGAAUGCUGACAUAAGUAACGAUAAAGCGGGUGAAAAGCCCGCUCGCCGGAAGACCAAGGGUUCCUGUCCAACGUUAAUCGGGGCAGGGUGAGUCGACCCCUAAGGCGAGGCCGAAAGGCGUAGUCGAUGGGAAACGGGUUAAUAUUCCCGUACUUGGUGUUACUGCGAAGGGGGGACGGAGAAGGCUAUGUUGGCCGGGCGACGGUUGUCCCGGUUUAAGCGUGUAGGUGUGUGUUCCAGGUAAAUCCGGUUCACUUUAACACUGAGGCGUGACGACGAGGCACUACGGUGCUGAAGCAACAAAUGCCCUGCUUCCAGGAAAAGCCUCUAAGCAUCAGGUAACAUCAAAUCGUACCCCAAACCGACACAGGUGGUCAGGUAGAGAAUACCAAGGCGCUUGAGAGAACUCGGGUGAAGGAACUAGGCAAAAUGGUGCCGUAACUUCGGGAGAAGGCACGCUGACACGUAGGUGAAGUGAUUUACUCAUGGAGCUGAAGUCAGUCGAAGAUACCAGCUGGCUGCAACUGUUUAUUAAAAACACAGCACUGUGCAAACACGAAAGUGGACGUAUACGGUGUGACGCCUGCCCGGUGCCGGAAGGUUAAUUGAUGGGGUCAGCGCAAGCGAAGCUCCUGAUCGAAGCCCCGGUAAACGGCGGCCGUAACUAUAACGGUCCUAAGGUAGCGAAAUUCCUUGUCGGGUAAGUUCCGACCUGCACGAAUGGCGUAAUGAUGGCCAGGCUGUCUCCACCCGAGACUCAGUGAAAUUGAACUCGCUGUGAAGAUGCAGUGUACCCGCGGCAAGACGGAAAGACCCCGUGAACCUUUACUAUAGCUUGACACUGAACAUUGAGCCUUGAUGUGUAGGAUAGGUGGGAGGCUUUGAAGUGUGGACGCCAGUCUGCAUGGAGCCGACCUUGAAAUACCACCCUUUAAUGUUUGAUGUUCUAACGUGGACCCGUUACCCGGGUUGCGGACAGUGUCUGGUGGGUAGUUUGACUGGGGCGGUCUCCUCCUAAAGAGUAACGGAGGAGCACGAAGGUUGGCUAAUCCUGGUCGGACAUCAGGAGGUUAGUGCAAUGGCAUAAGCCAGCUUGACUGCGAGCGUGACGGCGCGAGCAGGUGCGAAAGCAGGUCAUAGUGAUCCGGUGGUUCUGAAUGGAAGGGCCAUCGCUCAACGGAUAAAAGGUACUCCGGGGAUAACAGGCUGAUACCGCCCAAGAGUUCAUAUCGACGGCGGUGUUUGGCACCUCGAUGUCGGCUCAUCACAUCCUGGGGCUGAAGUAGGUCCCAAGGGUAUGGCUGUUCGCCAUUUAAAGUGGUACGCGAGCUGGGUUUAGAACGUCGUGAGACAGUUCGGUCCCUAUCUGCCGUGGGCGCUGGAGAACUGAGGGGGGCUGCUCCUAGUACGAGAGGACCGGAGUGGACGCAUCACUGGUGUUCGGGUUGUCAUGCCAAUGGCACUGCCCGGUAGCUAAAUGCGGAAGAGAUAAGUGCUGAAAGCAUCUAAGCACGAAACUUGCCCCGAGAUGAGUUCUCCCUGAGACUUAGAGUCUCCUGAAGGAACGUUGAAGACGACGACGUUGAUAGGCCGGGUGUGUAAGCGCAGCGAUGCGUUGAGCUAACCGGUACUAAUGAACCGUGAGGCUUAACCUUAC